UACGUAGGGGGCAAGCGUUGUCCGGAAUCAUUGGGCGUAAAGCGCGUGUAGGCGGUCCGGUAAGUCGGCUGUGAAAGUCCAGGGCUCAACCCUGGGAUGCCGGUCGAUACUGCCGGACUAGAGUUCGGAAGAGGCGAGUGGAAUUCCCGGUGUAGCGGUGAAAUGCGCAGAUAUCAGGAGGAACACCAAUGGCGAAGGCAGCUCGCUGGGACGUUACUGACGCUGAGACGCGAAAGCGUGGGGAGCAAACAGG
rnacentral:rRNA from 1 species